rfam:Azospirillum brasilense Sp245 plasmid AZOBR_p1 complete genome
GGUGAGGUCCGGGCCCCUCUGGCAGCGUCGCCCGGCGCUGUGAUGUCGGACUUCCCAU